UCUUCUGCGAGCAAGCCUUUACUGUGUUACAGCUCUUCUUAGUGUUACAGCUCUCUCAGUGUUACAGCUCUCUUGAACAGGGACUUUGAGCAGCAAAGUCGCUCGGCUUAUAUACACAACAGUAUGCUAAUUAUCUCUCAGGGAUUGGUGGGGCUUGGAUCACCCCACUACUUGUCCUCCAGGGAUUGGCGGAGAAUGAAUCACCUCAUUAGCAUAUUAACGGUCAACUGACACCUGGUGCAUAAACCGCACAUGUGCAGUACCGCUGUUCACCACUAGAGGGAGCCCUAGCAAGGGGACAAACCUGCACAUGCACAAACUGAAGCAAGAACUAAUGAUACAAGGGUGAAUUAUAGAAAUAUCAUGUUAAUCAAAGGAAUCCAGACAAAGAGAUCACAAAUAUAGGAUCCUAUUCCUAUGAAAGGGUCAAGAGAGAUAACUUUUAGGUGACAGAGGAGAUUGUCAAAAACCUGGGAGAAAAAUGGGACAAUGAUAAGGUUGAAUUUGCAUAUACAAUUCACUGCAAUCUGAUAGAGCUGAGCCAUGAACUGUUAUCAACUCUGGAGCUCCAAAGGGAGAGAAGUUUGAUAUGUAUAAAUAGGUUUUAAAAUGAGACAUGGCUGGCGACAUGAAAGAAAUUUUUAUGUUGUUCUGCGUGGAAAGGCAGGUGUGUGCACAGCUCAGCAAAGGGUAUUUCAUCUUGGUAAAUUCCUCAUUCCGGUGGAUGGAGUGAUAAAUGUCAGCUUCUUAACUGUAUUAAAUGGGAUCCAGCAAUUUCUGUGUUGUACUGCAGAUGAUCACUGCAGUCGUUAACUUUGGCUCAUCAAAAGAAGACUGGGUAAUUUGAAUGGCAGCUGGGUGUUUUACAAAAAGCAGAUAAAUUCAAGUGUCUUUUCUUAGGCUUUGUUUCCCUUGACAGAUAUGCAUUCUCUGGCACUGGGGUCUACUCUUGGUAAUUACUCUCCUCCCAGGAGAUGUACUUCUCCCCAGCACUGAGCUGACCUUACCUCCCUCCAGGGGUCUGCCUCUGCUUUUUUUUCACUGUUCUCCCUCUUCCCAGGUCCUUUUUGAGGUUCAGGCAGACUUCACAUGAUUUUUUUUAUCCCCUCUCAAGAUUACUUACUUUACUAUGUCAGCCAUUAAAUUUCCAUCAUUGUGGUUUGAGCAUCCCCAUUUUAUGGAACAGAAAUUUUGCUGCUGUGUCCAUGUAACAAUGUAUGUAUGUAAAAUUCAAAUGUAUCCAGAAGCAGCUUAAGAUGUUAAAACAGCUAUGGAGUGAAACAAUGUAACAGUGGUAGGAAAUUUGCUAACAUUCAUGAGGUCUUGUGGAUUUUUUAAGCUCCUUUUUAAAAGAAAAAAAUACUUUUAUCAAAUAAACAUAGUUAUAAAUUAUAUUUAAUUUGAUCAAAAGUAUGAAGCACAUUGUCUUCCAGAUGAUUGUAGAAUUAUUGUAAUUUCUUGCAAACGAAUACAUUUUAAGAGAAUUUCAAGUGUUUUAUAAUUAGUGACUGUUUGCCACUUCUAGACUUCUUUAGGGAAGAAGCAUUUCAAGCACCAAGACUUUCAUGUAAUUAAUGUCACAUCAGUGUAAAUCAGCUGAGGAGAAGCAGCAUUUGCAACAGUCCCACUAUGAAAGCACAGAAGCCAAAAGUUACCUGUCUUCACAGAUACUGACAACUUCACAUUUCAUUAAUCGAGUUCAAAAUCAAAUCUUGUAAACCAUUGGAAGUAUUCAGAAAUACACAAAACCCAAAUAGGUUGUACCUUCAUUUUGUCUCUGUAAUUCCAAAGGCAGCUUGCGUGGCAGCCCUGGAAAACUCUGCCUUAGCUUGGUGUAUAACUCAAUGGUAGGAUGUAUGUUUUGCAAAACUGAUAGAUACCUGGGCCCAAUAACCACCACUGAGAAAAUAAAUCCCCCAACAAAAUCCCAGACUAUGCUCCCUUGACAUGAAGACUUGGUUGUGACUCCUCUCUGACUCCUAGACCAUGAGGGAGCCUGCUUUGGAUCAGGUUCUGGAAGACCUUCACAGGACGAAGGAGCCAGCUCAUCUAGAAACAAAUGGGUAACAACUAAAAUAAUGAGUGAAUGCCUGACUAUUACAGGCUCUUCUGUUUUGAUCUGAUGAAUUUGAAGUUUCAGGUCUCACAUAAUCAGCAAACAAAUUAAUUUUCACGCUGGACGAUUCUUUUGAAGUUUCAGAAGUCUCAUCACAGCUCAUGGACUAUUUGCAUGCUUGUUUCCACGUCUGUAACACGUAAACACAAACACAAAAUUCACAAUCGAUACCAAGUGAUGAUCAUAAAAUACCCCUUAGGAAUCAAAUAAGUAUUUUGCUAUUUGUUUGUUUGUUUUUGUUUGACCAGCCAGAAGAACUAAAACAGCGUUUCAAUCAGAUUUUCUUAUGUGAAAGGCAGGACAGCGACAUCCACUUGAAUUUUCAAUCCUUGACCUGUUGACAAGUGAUUUUUACAAAUAAUGAGCUAUGCUUAAUCCUGAACCUUCAAGAAGACAGAACAUCUUGAGCCCCUGCCCUCUGAUCAGAAAGCCUGCUUGUCUCUGGGCCCAAAAAUGUGCUGUGAGAACAAAGGCUUUUCGACUUGCCUCUGAAGAACCAAGCUGACAGGUGAAAGUUUUUUUGCUCCUCUCAAAAUUCUCAAAAUGCAACUUAGUAGAGUUUAGCUACUGGCUCCCCAUGCGUCCACCUCUGAACGAAGGAAGAUAUUCCUGUCCAGUGUAUGUCAGCGAAGCUGUUGGCAGUGGUAGAUGGAUGUUACAGGAUGCGUGGAGAAAGCCUUUGUGAAGUCAAGCAAAGUUCAGUUAUUCAUGAAAAAAUGAGUGCAUGCUUUCAAAACACACACACUGAAAAUUGACAGUGAAAAAUCAGAAUUAGUGUGUGUGUGUGUGUGUGUGUGUGUGUGUGUGUGUGUGUGUUCACAUUGGGAAGAACAGAGAUUCAAUGACAUUUCCAGGCCAACUCCAAUUUCUAGAUCCUGAAGCAAAGUUAUGGUUAAAUACUGGGACGCAGUUAUGCAUAUUUAAGCAAUCCCAAGUCAAAGUGGGACCCCCCAUGCUGUGAGCCUCUGCCCAGACUUAGGGGAAGGAGCUGAAGAUUGAUGACUCUGUCCUUUUAACUCUAACUAUGGAUGCUGAAGCUGAUGGUUUCUAAAAGUCUAAAUGCUUUCUUGCUUAUUUUGUUGCUGAAAACUAUUGGCUUCUUUAUUAUUUUAUUACUCUCUGCUUUAUUAGACUUUAUAACUCCCUAUGCUUUAUAUAAUGCUAGAGACUUGCUUCUUACUCUUUCUUAUUGUUCUGUGCUUAAAUAAAUGCUAACACUUGAUCCUUUAUUAACUACUACUUUUCUGUGCUUCAAUAAAACUUAACUCAUUAUAAAUUCUUCAUUAAUGCUGUGCUUCAAUAAGCACUAAAACUUAACUAUUAACUUUUCCUUAAUAUUCUGUGCUUCAACAAGUGCUAAAACAACUCCUUUUCUCUGUUAUUUUCUUUAUAAUUCUCUGCCUGCAGCACUGAAAAACUUAACUCUUACUUUCUUUAUAUUUCUCUGUUUGAUAAUUCUCUCUCUUAGCCCUAAAUUACCUAUUUAAAUUUCUAAGUUACUAUGGGGCCAGAAGCUCCAGGUCUUUGGUGAUUAAUACUCAAUUAUUUAACAGCAGGGGAUUAAGUAAAGCAGUUCUUGGUUCCUCCACCAGCAGUUCCUCUUGGCUCUGAAGCUGGGGGAUAGUUUAAUCCCUUGUCAGCUGUAGGAAGUCACUGACAGAACGAAGCAUUUUUACACAGGCAAAUAUGAAUAGAAACAUAUAAACAUUCACACAUACAUAAUUCAAUGAUGCCCUAGCUACAUUCUGUAGAAACACACAGGGUAGGUAUAGAGUGAGGCAGUAGGAUCAGAGAUAAAUCUCCAUGGGAAAUGAAAUAUUUUAGAUAAUUAUGAAUGCCAGAUGUGCUGAAAUGGAAAAAAAAUAGGUGAAAAGGCAGAGCAAAGAAGAUGAUGAGGGAGGGAUAGGGGGAGAAAGAUAUAAAAUUAAAGGCCAU